UGGUCCAUGGUGUAAUGACAGCACGGCAGUUUGUGGCACUGCAGGUUCGGGUUUGAUCCCCGGUGUUCCACCCA
rnacentral:tRNA from 1 species